UGAAUGCUGGCGGCGUGCCUUAACAUGCAAGUCAAGGGGGCUCGUAGCAAUACGAGCAACCGGCAGACGGGUGAGUAACGCGUAGGAAUCUACCUCUAGGAGGAACAUAGCCAUCCGAAAGGAUGGGUAAUUUUCCAUGGUUCUCGUAAGAGUAAAGGACUUAAAGGUCCGCCAAGAGAUGAGCCUGCGUCCUAUCAGCUUGUUGGUGGGGUAAAAGCCUACCAAGGCAAUGACGGGUAGCUGGACUGAGAGGUCGAUCAGCCACAACUGCACUGAAACACGGGCAGUACAUCUACGGAUGGCAGCAACUAGGAAUAGUUCGCAAUGGACGAAAGUCUGACGACGCGACGCCGCGUGAAGGAUGAAGGCCUAUGGGGCGGAAACUUCUUUUGAUAAGCCGUUCACAGCUUAUAGAAUAAGCCUCUACUAACUACGUGCCAGAAGUCUCGGUAAUACGUAGGAGGCAAGCAUUAUCCGGAUUCAUUGGGCGUAAAGUGUGCGUAGGCGGUUUGGUAAGUCUAUUUUUAAAUUCCGAAGCUCAACUUCGGGCCUGGAAUACAUACUACUAAACUUGAGGAUUGUUAGGGGUGCUAGAACAGUUACUGUACCAGUGAAAUGCGUUGAUAUUAAACUGGAAUACCAAAGGGCGAAGGGAGGCACCUGGAAUUUUUCCUGGACGCUGAAGGCACGACAGGCUAGGGGUAACGAACCAUAUUACAGAC
rnacentral:rRNA from 1 species